rnacentral:rRNA from 1 species
UACGUAGGUGGCAAGCGUUACUCGGAAUCACUAGGCGUAAAGCGCAGGUAGGCGGUUUGGUAAGUCUGUUGUGAAAGCUCCCGGCUCAACUGGGAGAGGUCAACGGAAACUACUAGGCUAGAGUGUGGUAGAGGAAGCUGGAAUUCCCGGUGUAGCGGUGAAAUGCGUAGAUAUCGGGGGGAACACCUAUGGCGAAAGCAGGCUUCUGGACCAUCACUGACGCUGAGCUGCGAAAGCUAGGGGAGCAAACAGG